rnacentral:rRNA from 1 species
AUUAUUUAGAAAAUUAUAUUGUUAGUAUAUAAAUUGUAUGAAAACAAAAAAUUAUGGCGGUAUUUUAAGCUUUUCAGAGGAAUUUGCUCUUUAAUGGAUAAAACACCUAAAUCUUACUAAAUUUAGUUAAACAGUUUGUAUACCACUAUUUAAGUAAUAAUUUGCUAUUAUUACUAAAAUUUAUUAAUUAAAAAAAGUUAAGUCAAGGUGCAGCAUAAAUUUUAGUAUGAAGUGAAUUACAUUUCUUUUAAGAAAAAUUUGUUGAAAUAUAAAAUUUAGGAUUUGAAAGUAAAAUUUUAAUAGAAGGAAAAUUUGAAUUAAGCUCUAAAAUAUGUAC